ensembl:snoRNA
AACCGAUCAUGUCAUGAUUCUGCCAAAUGAAAUAAAAGUGAUAUCACUUAUAAAAACCAUUCCAUUUUGAUUCUGAGGUU